rnacentral:rRNA from 1 species
UACGUAGGGUGCAAGCGUUGUCCGGAAUUAUUGGGCGUAAAGAGCUCGUAGGCGGUUUGUCGCGUCUGCUGUGAAAACCCGAGGCUCAACCUCGGGCCUGCAGUGGGUACGGGCAGACUAGAGUGCGGUAGGGGAGAUUGGAAUUCCUGGUGUAGCGGUGGAAUGCGUAGAUAUCAGGAGGAACACCGGUGGUGUAGACGGCUUACUGGACCACGACUGACACUGAGGCACGAAAGCGUGGGUAGCAUACAGG